AUUGAACGCUGGCGGCAUGCUUUACACAUGCAAGUCGAACGGCAGCGCGGGCUUCGGCCUGGCGGCGAGUGGCGAACGGGUGAGUAAUACAUCGGAACGUGCCCAGUAGUGGGGGAUAGCUCGGCGAAAGCCGGAUUAAUACCGCAUACGACCUGAGGGUGAAAGCGGGGGAUCUUCGGACCUCGCGCUAUUGGAGCGGCCGAUGGCAGAUUAGCUAGUUGGUGGGGUAAAGGCCUACCAAGGCGACGAUCUGUAGCUGGUCUGAGAGGACGACCAGCCACACUGGGACUGAGACACGGCCCAGACUCCUACGGGAGGCAGCGGUGGGGAAUUUUGGACAAUGGGCGAAAGCCUGAUCCAGCAAUGCCGCGUGUGUGAUGAAGGCCUUCGGGUUGUAAAGCACUUUUGGCGGGAACGAAAAGGACUGUGCCAAUACCACGGUUCGAUGACGGUACCCGCAGAAUAAGCACCGGCUAACUACGUG
rnacentral:rRNA from 1 species